UUCUGAUAUGUAACAAAAGAACUUUUUAGAGAUGUGCUCGCCACUACAAUCAAAUUGUAGUAACUUAAUAUAUUUCUUUGAUGCUUCUCUGUUUGAAGUCUUAAAAAUCUUGAAUCACUUAAUUCAUUAAGACUUACAGUGCAUCAAAUAAAUAUAUUAAUAUUUUGAGUAAUCAUUUAUAAACGUCACAAAAUACUCAAAAUCAAUCAGAAAGGAUUCAUUCUAACUUAUCACUAGUUUUAUUUCCUUUUAAAAUGAAACAUCUUUUAGUCAAAUUUCCUUCCAAAUAGGAUCCACAAGUUGGUAGUGCCUCUACUUUCAAUGAACCUUAACGUACAUCCUUGACCAAC
rnacentral:lncRNA from 1 species